rnacentral:lncRNA from 1 species
GGUUGAAUGGUAAAAUACCCUUUUUUGCUAAAAAUGAUGAAAAAGAAACAAGGGAAAUGAGUUUGGCAUGGCUUGAACUUGGGUGUAAGAAAGAAUAAAAGUGCUUAACCAUUAGGUUGCUUGCCUUUCCUGGCUUAUUUCUACUUUACUUAUUAUAUAUCUAAGUUGGCCUUAGUUCCUUGGUUUUUGAAAUAAAAUAUAAGAAAA